rnacentral:rRNA from 1 species
CCAGCCAAGUCGCGUGAAGGAUGACUGUCUUAUGGAUUGUAAACUUCUUUUGUAGGGGAAUAACGGACGGUACGUGUACCGUAUUGAAUGUACCCUACGAAUAAGCAUCGGCUAACUCCGUGCCAGCAGCCGCGGUAAUACGGAGGAUGCGAGCGUUAUCCGGAUUUAUUGGGUUUAAAGGGUGCGUAGGCGGCCUGUUAAGUCAGCGGUGAAAUCUAGGAGCUUAACUCCUAAAUUGCCAUUGAUACUGGCGGGCUUGAGUGUAGAUGAGGUAGGCGGAAUGCGUGGUGUAGCGGUGGAAUGCAUAGAUAUCACGCAGAACUCCAAUUGCGAAGGCAGCUUACUAAGGUACAACUGACGCUGAAGCACGAAAGCGUGGGUAUCAAACAGGAUUAGAUACCCUGGUAGUCCACGCAGUAAACGAUGAUAACUGGGCGUAUGCGAUAUACGGUAUGCUCCUAAGCGAAAGCGUUAAGUUAUCCACCUGGGGAGUACGCCGGCAACGGUGAAACUCAAAGGAAUUGACGGGGGCCCGCACAAG